GUCCAGACUCCUACGGGAGGCAGCAGUGGGGAAUAUUGCACAAUGGGGGAAACCCUGAUGCAGCGACGCCGCGUGAAGGAUGAAGUAUUUCGGUAUGUAAACUUCUAUCAGCAGGGAAGAAAAUGACGGUACCUGACUAAGAAGCCCCGGCUAACUACGUGCCAGCAGCCGCGGUAAUACGUAGGGGGCAAGCGUUAUCCGGAUUUACUGGGUGUAAAGGGGGCGCAGACGGCAGCGCAAGCCAGGAGUGAAAGCCCGGGGCCCAACCCCGGGACUGCUCUUGGAACUGCGCGGCUGGAGUGCAGGAGGGGCAGGCGGAAUUCCUGGUGUAGCGGUGAAAUGCGUAGAUAUCAGGAGGAACACCGGCGGCGAAGGCGGCCUGCUGGACCGCGACUGACGUUGAGGCUCGAAAGCGUGGGGAGCGAACAGGAUUAGAUACCCUUGUA
rnacentral:rRNA from 1 species